GUGCUCGCUUCGGCAGCACAUAUUCUAAAAUUGGAACGAUACAGAGAAGAUUAGCAUGACCCCUGCGCAAGGAUGACACACAAAUUCAUGAAGCGCUCCAUAUUUUU
rnacentral:snRNA from 1 species